AUGAAGCAGGAGGAUGCCAAAGAUGAUAUCCAGUUGACACAGCCUCCAUCUGCAUCUGCAUCUGCAUCUGCAUCUGCAUCUGCAUCUGCAUCUGGGGGAGACACAGUCAACAGCAGUUGCCAGACCAGUCAGGGCAUUGUCAAGUACCUACACUGGUAUCAGCAGAAACUAGGGCAGGAUCCUAAACUCCUGAUCUAUGCUGCAACCAAUUUGCAGUCUGGAGUCCCAUCAAGGUUCAGUGGCAGUGGAUUUGGGACAGAUUUCACUCUCACCAUCAGUGGUCUGCAGCCUGAGGACUUUGGAGCUUAUUUCUGUCAGCAGUAUAACAGUUACCUGUGCACAGUGAUAUAA